AUACGUAGGGAGCGAGCGUUGUCCGGAAUUACUGGGUGUAAAGGGAGCGUAGGCGGGAGUGCAAGUCAGAUGUGAAAUACAUGGGCUCAACCCAUGGGCUGCAUUUGAAACUGCAUUUCUUGAGUGAAGUAGCGGAAAGCGGAAUUCCUGGUGUAGCGGUGAAAUGCGUAGAUAUCAGGAGGAACACCGGUGGCGAAGGCGGCUUACUGGGCUUUUACUGACGCUGAGGCUCGAAAGCGUGGGGAGCAAACAGGAUUAGAUACCCUGGUAGUCCACGCUGUAAACGAUGAUUACUAGGUGUGGGGGGACUGACCCCUUCCGUGCCGCAGUUAACACAAUAAGUAAUCCACCUGGGGAGUACGGCCGCAAGGUUGAAACUCAAAUGAAUUGACGGGG
rnacentral:rRNA from 1 species